AGAGUUUGAUCCUGGCUCAGAAUGAACGCUGGCGGCGUGCCUAACACAUGCAAGUCGAGCGAGAAAGUCUCUUCGGAGAUUAGUACAGCGGCGGACGGGUGAGUAAUGCGCAGGAACCUGCCCUUUGGUGAGGAAUACUCUUGAGAAAUCGAGAAUAAUACCGCAUAAGUCCCUACGGGGAGAAAGGCGGCUUUAAUGCUGUCGUCAGAGGAUGGGCUUGCGUGCUAUCAGCUAGUUGGUGGGGUAAAGGCCUACCAAGGCUAUGACGGCUAACCGGCCUGAGAGGGUGUACGGUCACACUGGAACUGAGACACGGUCCAGACUCCUACGGGAGGCAGCAGUGGGGAAUAUUGCGCAAUGGGCGAAAGCCUGACGCAGCGACGCCGCGUGGAGGAUGAAGGUCUUAGGAUCGUAAACUCCUGUUAAGUGGGAAGAAAAGCCUAUCAGUAAUAUGGAUAGGUUAUGACGGUACCGCUAUAGAAGACCGAAUUGGCC
rnacentral:rRNA from 1 species